rnacentral:lncRNA from 1 species
UUUUUUUUUUUUUUUUUUUUUGGAGACGGAGUCUUGUUAUGUUGCCCAGAUUGGAGUGUAGUGGUGCCAUCUUGGCCUCCCAGGUUCAAGUGAUUCUCCUGUCAGAGCCUCCUGAGUAGCUGGGAUUACAGGUGUCCGCCACCAUGCCUGACUACUUUUUGUAUUUUUAUAGAGACGGGGUUUCACCAUGUUGGCCAGGCUGGUCUCAAACUCCUGACCUCAAGUGGUCCACCCACCUCAGCCUCUCAAAGUACUAGGAUUACAGGUGUGAGCCACCGUGCCUGGCCUCUCUUCCCCUUUUGCUGGUCUUCCUGACCAGCAUGUUGAUGUCAUGUUAGGUGACAGUUAUUUUCUAAGUCAGGGUGGAAAUCACAGGUAGCAGAUGGCAUAGCAAACUGUCACAGAGGCUGGGAUUCCCUAAUCGUUAUGGAGCCACCAUUUUAUUCUAGGACUGCCUACCUUUACCUGAGAGAAAGACACUUUUAUCUUUUUGCCAUUGUUGUUUUGGACUUUUCAUCUGAGUAUUUCUCUUUUAUUUUGUUCAGACAACUACACCUAUCUGAUAUUAUCUUGUUCAGUUUUCUUUCUUAUUUGCUGUCUUCUCCCUCUAGAAUGCUAGUUUCGCGAAAAUAAAUACCUUGUCGUGUCUCUUGUUUCUGUUUGUUUCCUUAGCACAAUGCCUGGAAAAUAGUAAUGACUCAGUAAAUAUUUGUAGAUGAAUGAAUGAAGACUAGGAGAUUAGAAUGCAAUUCUUCUAAAGGUAGUUCGUUUCUGCUUUAAGAGACUAUGGAAUUUAGAAUUCCAAAGAAACUGGUAGGUUUGUUAUAUGCGAGGAAAUUGACUGAGGGGUUAUAUGACUCAAGCAACACACGACCCUUGUCUUGCUAAUUGUUGGCCAAGCUCCCUACCCAGGUCUGCGUUCUAACACACGACUGCCGCCUCUACUGUGUGUGGUGUUUGGUUGACAAGCACCUAUCAAGGAUGCUGUAGACAGGAUUGCUCCAUGGCGUAAGGUUUGGACUGGAUCACCUAUUGCCCUUCCCCACACACGUCGGGGUGUGAGCAUAGCUGAGACUUUUCAAGCCUUCCCAGGUACCACAGAGCUUGGAAAGCCCAGCACCUGCGGGCAGUUCAGUUGCAACUGGCGGGCAGCCGUAGCUGUUUAUUACCUGGGGCUCUCGGGAAGGCGAGCUCGUAGUGCUGGGGAGGACGUUUGUCUCAGGCAUUCCUCUGGCAACCCUCUUCCUCCAGCGGCUCCCAACAAAGACAUUUCAUUUAAUCCCUUUCUUCCACUCCCCUCCGCUCUACUUGGCUUGGCGUUGGAAGCUGAAGCACAAUUUGACCCAAGCCACCUCCUACUGCGCACCUGCCAGAGCGCUCGCGCCCCGGAGCCUGGCACGGCAUUGCGGGGGUGGGGAGGCGGCGCGUCCCCGAGCUGCGCUCCCUCGCUUACAGCCUCGGCUCUGGGGGCGAAGAUCCAUUCUACCUCCGCUCACCCAGCUGCGCCGCCGCGCGGGAGCGCGCCCCAGCGGAAGGCCUCUUGAGG